rnacentral:lncRNA from 1 species
UGGUGCGCUCUCGGCUCACUGCAACCUCUGCAUCCCGGGUUCAAGUGAUUAUCCUGCCUCAACCUCCUGAGUAGCUGGGACUACAAGCGUGAGCCACCAAGCAUGUAAAAAUAGUUUAGUCUUAUUAGUAAUCAAAUAAGUGCAAAUAAAGUCAAAAUCAUAUUAUUUCUUGUCAAGCAUGGGGAAAAAUGGACUUUUAAAUGCUAAUGGUUAAGUGUAAAUUGAUGUACUAUUCUGUAGAAAAUUUUGGAAUAUGUAUCAAUUUUAACUGAGUGUAUUAUUUGAUCCAGCAACUUCAGUUCUAGGGAAAGUUCAGUGAACUUAAACUCAAUUUCCUAGAAUAGUUGCUUCUAAAAUAAGUUUUGGAAAUGGUGGUAACAUCUGAGCAUUACAGUAGCCAUUGGCCAUGUGUCACCAUUAAACACUUCAAAUAAGGGAAGUUUGACUGAGGAACUAGAUAUUUAGAUUCCUUCAUUUCUUUCAGUUAUUAGCAGCUUUAUUGAGGUAUAAUUAAUAUACAAUAAGCUAUACAUAUUUAAGGUGUAAAAUUUGUUAAGCUUUGAUAUAUGUAUAUACCUGUAAAACCAUCACUAUAAUCAAGAUAAUGACGAUAUCCAUUACCUCAAAGGUUUCCUCAUACCCCUU